CACACGACUCUCGGCAACGGAUAUCUCGGCUCUCGCGUCGAUGAAGAACGUAGCGAAAUGCGAUACCUGGUGUGAAUUGCAGAAUCCCGCGAACCAUCGAGUCUUUGAACGCAAGUUGCGCCCGAGGCCACUCGGCCGAGGGCACGCCUGCCUGGGCGUCACGC
rnacentral:rRNA from 2 species